AACAGAAAGAACUUGUAAUGAAUAGUUCUUCUUUCAUUUGAUUUAUUAUAGCAACUGGAAGCAUUGGGGAAAACUAUGAUUCCUUUACAAAACGGAAUACUCGCAUCAGCGGCAGUGAUCGCAACCGUGGAGGCAGGAAAUAUUAAGACUGCAUCCGAGAAUGCACUAGCAGAGCUGAGAAAGUCGGACGAAGAAUCACGCAAACAAAUUUUCUUACUCCAAGUCUGGAUGAAGCAUGGCCGGUCGAUAGCUGUUACAGCAGGAAGGAAGUAGAGAAGAUAUAAUAUACAGGAAGAAGGUUGGAUAUUUGGAAAAUGACCUGGUCAAAAUAUUUGAAGACCAGGAAAAGAUUGACUAAAAACGCGGACGUGAUUGUGAAUCGGCCAAGGAACGCUCAAUUUCAAGUAUUGUUGGCAAAGUUAACCAAUGAUCAAACUUACAUAAGUUCCAUCAGGACAUUCUGUGAUUCCUAUGUCAAUCAACCCAAGACGCCCAAGGAACUUUUGUUGAUCAGUCAAUGGGGAUCACUGCGCCAUGCAUCCAAUAUUGCUUAAAUUUGUCUACACGUAAAAUUCAAGCAUAUUUUACUUUUUUUUUACCGGCACCUAAUUUUUUGUGGUUUUCAUUUGUUGGUUUCUAAUAUAGGCAGCUGACCUCAACAUCAAUUCGUUAACUUAUCACAAAUUUGCUCAGCAACAGAUCCAUUACGCCUUGGGGGACACCGGGGACACUGGUCGGAGCUUUCUCUGUGGUUUUGGAACCAAUCCUUCCGUUAGAGCACAUCACCGUUCCAGUGCUGAGCCUCCUCAACCAGCUAAACGUGGACGCCCAUGACGUUUACUACCACUCCCGUUGGAGAUGCAAGUAGCCGAUUAGAAGUUCCCGUUCAAGUUACGGAAGACGCUGUUGAACUGCUACAGCACCAGCCAAUAGCCAUCCAGGAUGUUGACAAUUAGAGAUGAUGAUCUCGAGGCAUCCGACGAUGAUGAGCCUGUCUGGCACAUCUAUGAGAAAGCGAUGAAAAACGAGCGCAAGACGUUAUUCGAUGGGGUUGGUCACAGCUACCACGAGAAGCGGACCAACAAGCGAUCGAUAGCGUGGCGCACACAAAGCCGAAUUUCUGCCGUUCUCGGGUGUCGCAAUGCGAUGCCAACUUCACCCUCAGAGUACCUCAUACCUGCCCAACCAACCUGGACAUCUCUAGGGAUGCUUCAAUUCUCAUGAAAGCGAAGGCACAGGCUAUCAGCAUGAAAGGGAUUCAAAGCAACAUUACGAUAACUUUGUAUUUUUCCCGCUUACUUGUGCAGGAUUUGGACAGCUUUUCGGUUUUUCCUUUUCUCGUCACUUUUCAAAAGGUUGACGGUGAACCUAAGGCUAUUGCAAUGCGGUUAUUCGUUUUUCCGCAAAGGAAAUUCCAGACAGCCUGUCUGGUUUCAUUCAUAAUUUUUUUUUGGGGGAAAGACAUGACCAUUGGCUAAAUGAACCUAUUACUCCUUUUUCUUUCUUCCCACCUUUAGCUUUGUUCCUAGCCCCCCAAAUUUAGGACCAAAAGUUAAACAUAGUUUCCCGCAAUGUGGGUAGGUGGCUUUCAAAAUAAAAUCGCUGUUCCGAUUUUUUUGGGGCAAUACUGCACGACUAUUGUUUCGAGCGGGUUAGUUGCGGGUGGACCUACUUCUUCGACGGAGUUGGCUUGUAUUAAGCUGUUCUUGUUUGCUCUCCCGCUUAGCUAUUUCCUACGGUGGGGCAAAAAAAAACAAACAAAUCACAAUUAAUAAAUAUGGGAGGGCACCAACUUCGGACAACUGCUUACCCUUUCCUUUUCAU